AGAGUUUGAUCCUGGCUCAGGAUGAACGCUGGCGGCGUGCUUAACACAUGCAAGUCGAGCGAAGCAAUUUAAGUGAAGUUUUCGGAUGGAUCUUAAAUUGACUGAGCGGCGGACGGGUGAGUAACGCGUGGAUAACCUGCCUCACACAGGGGGAUAACAGUUAGAAAUGACUGCUAAUACCGCAUAAGCGCACGGUACCGCAUGGUACAGUGUGAAAAACUCCGGUGGUGUGAGAUGGAUCCGCGUCUGAUUAGGUAGUUGGUGAGGUAACGGCCCACCAAGCCGACGAUCAGUAGCCGACCUGAGAGGGUGACCGGCCACAUUGGGACUGAGACACGGCCCAAACUCCUACGGGAGGCAGCAGUGGGGAAUAUUGCACAAUGGGCGAAAGCCUGAUGCAGCAACGCCGCGUGAGUGAAGAAGUAUCUCGGUAUGUAAAGCUCUAUCAGCAGGGAAGAAAAUGACGGUACCUGACUAAGAAGCCCCGGCUAACUACGUGCCAGCAGCCGCGGUAAUACGUAGGGGGCAAGCGUUAUCCGGAUUUACUGGGUGUAAAGGGAGCGUAGACGGUAAAGCAAGUCUGAAGUGAAAGCCCGGGGCUCAACCCCGGGACUGCUUUGGAAACUGUUUAACUAGAGUGCUGGAGAGGUAAGCGGAAUUCCUAGUGUAGCGGUGAAAUGCGUAGAUAUUAGGAAGAACACCAGUGGCGAAGGCGGCUUGCUGGACAGUAACUGACGUUCAGGCUCGAAAGCGUGGGGAGCAAACAGGAUUAGAUACCCUGGUAGUCCACGC
rnacentral:rRNA from 1 species